AACGCAUAUUGCACUCUUUGGUAUUCCGAAGAGUAUGCCUGUUUCAGUAUCAUGAAAAACCUCACAAAUUCAUUUUUGGCUUUGUGGACUUGAGCAUUUUGCGGCUUUUUAUUAAGCUGCUGGCUUAAAAUGUAUUUCUUGAAUAGCAAUAUAAUGGCUUUCGAAACUCGGCUUAAUAGUUUUGGCUUUUGGUCAAAUCUUUAGCUCUUUUCAAAGUCUUCAAGUUAUUCAAAAGUUUUAUACGAACACUUUUCUCAAUUUUGAUCUGAAAUCAGGUAGGAUUACCCGCUGAACUUAA
rnacentral:misc_RNA from 2 species